GACGAACGCUGGCGGCGUGCUUAACACAUGCAAGUCGAACGGAAAGGCCCUGCUUUUGUGGGGUGCUCGAGUGGCGAACGGGUGAGUAACACGUGAGUAACCUGCCCUUGACUUUGGGAUAACUUCAGGUAACUGGGGCUAAUACCGGAUAGCAGCCCCUGCUGCAUGGUGGGGGUUGGAAAGUCUCGGCGGUUGGGGAUGGACUCGCGGCUUAUCAGCUUGUUGGUGGGGUAGUGGCUUACCAAGGCUUUGGCGGGUCGCCGGCCUGAGAGGGUGACCGGCCACAUUAGGACUGAGAUACGGCCCAGACUCCUACGGGGGGCAACAGUGGGGAAUAUUGCACGAUGGGCGGAAGCCUGAUGCAGCAGCGCCGCGUGCGGGAUGACGGCCUUCGGGUUGUAAACCGCUUUCGCCUGUGACGAAGCGUGAGUGACGGUAAUGGGUAAAGAAGCACCGGCUAACUACGUG
rnacentral:rRNA from 1 species